UGGGGAAUUUUGGACAAUGGGCGCAAGCCUGAUCCAGCCAUGCCGCGUGAGUGAAGAAGGCCUUCGGGUUGUAAAGCUCUUUCGGCCGGGAAGAAAUCGUGUUCUCUAACAUAGGACAUGGAUGACGGUACCGGACUAAGAAGCACCGGCUAACUACGUGCCAGCAGCCGCGGUAAUACGUAGGGUGCGAGCGUUAAUCGGAAUUACUGGGCGUAAAGCGUGCGCAGGCGGUUUUGUAAGACAGAUGUGAAAUCCCCGGGCUUAACCUGGGAACGGCGGUUGUGACUGCAAGGCUGGAGUACGGCAGAGGGAGGUGGAAUUCCACGUGUAGCAGUGAAAUGCGUAGAGAUGUGGAGGAACACCGAUGGCGAAGGCAGCCCCCUGGGCCUGUACUGACGCUCAUGCACGAAAGCGUGGGGAGCAAACA
rnacentral:rRNA from 1 species